rnacentral:rRNA from 1 species
AGCGAACGCUGGCGGCAGGCCUAACACAUGCAAGUCGAACGGCAGCACAAGAGAGCUUGCCCUCCGGGUGGCGAGUGGCGGACGGGUGAGGAAUGCAUCGGAAUCUGCCCAUUUGUGGGGGAUAUCCUCGGGAAACCGGGACUAAUACCGCAUACGACCUACGGGUGAAAGCAGGGGCUCUUCGUACCUUGCUCAGUUGGAUGAGCCGAUGCCGAGUUAUCUAGUUGGAGGGGUAAAGGCCCACCAAGGCGACGAACCGUAGCUGGUCUGAGAGGCACAUCAGACACACUGGGAGUGAGGAACGGCCCAGACACCUGCGGGGAGCCACGGUGGAGAAUAUUAGAGGAUGGACGAGUGGGUGAUCCAGCCAUACCGCGUGUGUGAAGAAGGACUUAGGGUUGUAGAGCAAUUAUGUUGGGAGAGAAGUAAAGCCGGUUAAUACCCGAUUGUAAUGACGGUACCCGAAGAAUAAGCACCGGCUAACUUCGUG